AUGAGUUUGAUCAUGGCUCAGAUUGCAACGCUGGCGGCAGGCCUAACACAUGCAAGUCGAGCGGAUGAUGGGAGCUUGCUCCCGGAUUCAGCGGCGGACGGGUGAGUAAUGCCUAGGAAUCUGCCUGGUAGUGGGGGACAACGUUUCGAAAGGAACGCUAAUACCGCAUACGUCCUACGGGAGAAAGCAGGGGACCUUCGGGCCUUGCGCUAUCAGAUGAGCCUAGGUCGGAUUAGCUAGUUGGUGGGGUAAAGGCCUACCAAGGCGACGGUCCGUAACUGGUCUGAGAGGAUGAUCAGUCACNACUGGAACUGAGACACGGUCCAGACUCCUACGGGAGGCAGCA
rnacentral:rRNA from 1 species